rnacentral:rRNA from 1 species
AGGAUAAACGCUGGCGGCGUGCAUGAGACAUGCAAGUCGAACGGACGAUCAGGGCUUGCUCUGAUCGUUAGUGGCGGACGGCUGAGUAACGCGUAGGUGACCUGCCCCGAAGUGGGGAAUAACUGCCCGAAAGGGUGGCUAAUACCGCAUGUGGUGGUGUGUUCAUUCACACCAGUAAAGCCGCAAGGCGCUUCGGGAGGGGCCUGCGUCCGAUUAGCUCGUUGGUGGGGUAACGGCUCACCAAGGCGACGAUCGGUAGGUGGUCUGAGGGGACGAUCACCCAGACUGGGACUGAGACACGGCCCAGACUCCUACGGGAGGCAGCAGUCGGGAAUUUUUGCGCAAUGGACGAAAGUCUGACGCAGCAACGCCGCGUGAGGGAUGAAGGCCUUCGGGUUGUAAACCUCUUUUAUCAGGGAAGAUAAUGACGGUACCUGAUGAAUAAGUCACGGCUAACUACGUGCCAGCAGCCGC